rnacentral:rRNA from 1 species
UACGAAGGGGGCUAGCGUUGCUCGGAAUGACUGGGCGUAAAGGGCGCGUAGGCGGAUGGUACAGUCAGAUGUGAAAUUCCCGGGCUUAACCUGGGGUCUGCAUUUGAUACGUAUUGUCUUGAGUUCGGAAGAGGGUCGUGGAAUUUCCAGUGUAGAGGUGAAAUUCGUAGAUAUUGGAAAGAACACCGGUGGCGAAGGCGGCGACCUGGUCCGACACUGACGCUGAGGCGCGAAAGCGUGGGGAGCAAACAGG